rnacentral:lncRNA from 1 species
GCUCGCUCGGUGAAGGUGAAGAUCAAACUGGGCCGGAAGGAGAAGGCUCAGGAGCGGCUGAAGGGGCGGCGCCGGGCGAGCCGCGGCUCCCGGCCAAACCCGUGGUGAGCGACGACGACAGCGACGAGGAGCAGGAAGAGGAGCGCUCCGGCAGCGGCACGGAGGAGGACUGACGGAGCCGCGGCCGCUGGGGGCGCUGUGGGCGCUGCGGGGCGGCGGUGGGCGGCGGCGGUGGCGGCGCUUCCGGUGCUCUCUGUGUGCCGCGCUGCGCCCGCGGCGGUCGAUGUCACUGGAUCUGAUCAGUAAUAAAUUAAUGAGCGCGGAGCGGCGCCUUCCGCCCGGGGGGCGUGGCCAGCGAGGGGGCGUGGCCAGAGGAGUAGGCGUGGCCUUCGUUGUGGGCGUGGCCUGGGCGGAGCUGAAGGCGUGGCCAGCGCUGGGGGCGUGACCAGAGGAGUAGGCGGGGGCCUUCGUUGUGGGCGUGGCCUGGGCGGAACUGAAGGCGUGGCCAGAGCUGAGGGGCGGGGCCUGAG